UACGAAGGGGGCUAGCGUUGCUCGGAAUUACUGGGCGUAAAGGGCGCGUAGGCGGCGCGGCUAGUCAGGCGUGAAAUUCCCGGGCUUAACCUGGGGGCUGCGCUUGAUACGGUCAUGCUAGAGGAUGGAAGAGGCUCGUGGAAUUCCCAGUGUAGAGGUGAAAUUCGUAGAUAUUGGGAAGAACACCGGUGGCGAAGGCGGCGAGCUGGUCCAUUACUGACGCUGAGGCGCGACAGCGUGGGGAGCAAACAGG
rnacentral:rRNA from 1 species